rnacentral:rRNA from 1 species
UAGGGAAUCUUCCGCAAUGGGCGAAAGCCUGACGGAGCAACGCCGCGUGAGUGAUGAAGGUCUUCGGAUCGUAAAACUCUGUUAUUAGGGAAGAACAAAUGUGUAAGUAACUAUGCACGUCUUGACGGUACCAAAUCAGAAAGCCACGGCUAACUACGUGCCAGCAGCCGCGGUAAUACGUAGGUGGCAAGCGUUAUCCGGAAUUAUUGGGCGUAAAGCGCGCGUAGGCGGUUUUUUAAGUCUGAUGUGAAAGCCAACGGCUCAACCGUGGAGGGUCAUUGGAAACUGGAAAACUUGAGUGCAGAAGAGGAAAGUGGAAUUCCAUGUGUAGCGGUGAAAGGCGCAGAGAUAUGGAGAAACACCAGUGGCGAAGGCGACUUUCUGGUCUGUAACUGACGCUGAUGUGCGAAAGCGUGGGGAUCAAACAGG